UACGAAGGGGGCUAGCGUUGCUCGGAAUUACUGGGCGUAAAGGGCGCGUAGGCGGACAGUUUAGUCAGAGGUGAAAGCCCAGGGCUCAACCUUGGAACUGCCUUUGAUACUGACUGUCUUGAGUUCGGGAGAGGUGAGUGGAAUGCCGAGUGUAGAGGUGAAAUUCGUAGAUAUUGGGAAGAACACCAGUGGCGAAGGCGGCUCACUGGCCCGUAACUGACGCUGAGGUGCGAAAGCGUGGGGAGCAAACAGG
rnacentral:rRNA from 1 species